rnacentral:tRNA from 1 species
GGUGUGGUAGCAAAGCGGUCAAAUGCGGGGGACUUAAGAUCUUCUCCUUCGGGUUCGCAGGUUCAAACCCUGCCCACACUU